GCGCCUUUAGCUCAGUUGGUAGAGCAACUGACUCUUAAUCAGUGGGUCCUGGGUUCGAGUCCCCGAAGGCUC
rnacentral:tRNA from 1 species